rnacentral:rRNA from 1 species
AACGAACGCUGGCGGCGUGGAUAAGACAUGCAAGUCGAACGAAGCAAUGGAUUUCGGUUUAUUGUUUAGUGGCGAACGGGUGAGUAACACGUGAGUUACCUGCCUCUAAGUUAGGGAUAGCCCCGGGAAACUGGGAUUAAUACCUGAUGGACUCGAAAGAGUAAAGGAGAAAUCCGCUUAGAGAGGGGCUCGCGUCCUAUUAGUUAGUUGGUGAGGUAAUGGCUCACCAAGGCGAUGACGGGUAGCCGGUCUGAGAGGAUGUCCGGCCACACUGGAACUGAGACACGGUCCAGACACCUACGGGUGGCAGCAGUCGAGAAUCAUUCACAAUGGACGAAAGUCUGAUGGUGCGACGCCGCGUGGGGGAGGAAGGUCUUCGGAUUGUAAACCCCUGUCAUGUGGGAGCAAGAUAGAAAUAUUUGAUAGUACCACAAGAGGAAGAGACGGCUAACUCUGUGCCAGCAGCCGCGGUAAUACAGAGGUCUCAAGCGUUGUUCGGAAUCACUGGGCGUAAAGGGUACGUAGGCGGCGCCAUAAGUCGUGCGUGAAAGGCAAGGGCCCAACCCUUGGAGUGCGCAUGAUACUGUGGUGCUAGAGCGAUGGAGAGGGAACUGGAAUUCUUGGUGUAGCAGUGAAAUGCGUAGAUAUCAAGAGGAAGACUCGUGGCGAAGGCGAGUUCCUGGACAUGUGCUGACGCUGAGGUACGAAGGCUAGGGUAGCGAAA